GUGAAGUCACGAACGGUCGCUCGUAAAUUAUUUUUAUUGAGAGGAAAGUCCGGACUCCGCUGGCAACGCACGGGGUAACACCCCGCCGCCGGCAAUAAAAAGGCCAGGCGAGGAACAGUGGAACAGAGAGAAUGUCCAGGACAUUGAUCCCGGCCUCGGAAACGGGAGGGGCCGGGGGAGUUGCUGGAGUGAAAACAGCCAAACUCUGCGUGGUGCAAGAUCAAAUAGGAGAGCACUUGAGUGUAGCCAGCACGAAGCUCUCGGGUAAGAUCGCUAAAGCAAUUGAGUAAUUAAUUGCGUAGAGGAAUGAUCGUUACACUUGAUUUGUUGAGGCAUUUUUCAAGUGGACAGAACCCGGCUUACAGUGAUUUCGUCGCU
rnacentral:RNase_P_RNA from 2 species